rnacentral:rRNA from 1 species
GUGUCAGCAGCCGCGGUAAAACGUAGGAUCCGAGCGUUAUCCGAAUUUACUGGGCGUAAAGCGCGUGUAGGCGGUUCGGUAAGUUGGAUGUGAAAUCUCCUGGCUCAACUGGGAGAGGUCGUUCAAUACUGUCGGACUAGAGGGUGGUAGAGGGAGGUGGAAUUCCCGGUGUAGUGGUGAAAUGCGUAGAUAUCGGGAGGAACACCAGUGGCGAAAGCGGCCUCCUAGACCGCUCCUGACGCUCAGACGCGAAAGCUAGGGGAGCAAACGGGAUUAGAAACCCCGGUAGUCCUAGCUGUAAACGAUGUGGACUUGGCGUUGGUGGGGUAAAAGCCAUCAGUGCCGAAGCUAACGCGAUAAGUCCACCGCCUGGGGACUACGGCCGCAAGGUUAAA